rnacentral:rRNA from 1 species
AUUGAACGCUGGCGGCAGGCCUAACACAUGCAAGUCGAACGGAGUGGCGGACGGGUGAGUAAUGUCUGGGAAACUGCCCGAUGGAGGGGGAUAACUACUGGAAACGGUAGCUAAUACCGCAUACUAUCAGAUGAGCCCAUGUCGGAUUAGCUAGUUGGUGGGGUAAAGGCCUACCAAGGCGACGAUCCGUAACUGGUCUGAGAGGAUGAUCAGUCACACUGGAACUGAGACACGGUCCAGACUCCUACGGGAGGCAGCAGUGGGGAAUAUUGGACAAUGGGCGAAAGCCUGAUCCAGCCAUGCCGCGUGUGUGAAGAAGGUCUUCGGAUUGUAAAGCACUUUAAGUUGGGAGGCGUUACCAACAGAAUAAGCACCGGCUAACUUCGUGCCAGCAGCCGCGGUAAUAC